AUUGAACGCUGGCGGCAGGCCUAACACAUGCAAGUCGAACGGUAACAGGAAGCUGCUUGCUGCUUUUCUGACGAGUGGCGGACGGGUGAGUAAUGUCUGGGCAACUGCCUGCUGGAGGGGGAUAACUACUGGAAACGGUAGCUACUACCGCAUAACGUCGCCAGACCAAAGAGGGGGACCUUCGGGCCUCUUGCCAUCGGAUGUUCCCAGCUGGGCUUAGCUAGUAGGUGGGGUAACGGCUCACCUAGGCGACGAUCCCUAGCUGGUCUGAGAGGAGGACCAGCGGCAUGGGAACUGAGACAGGGACCAGAGGACUGAGGGAGGGAGCAGAGGGGAAUAGUGGACAAUGGGGACAAGCCUGAUGCAGCCAGGCCGAGUGUAUGAAGAAGGCCUUCGGGUUGUAAAGUACGUUCAGGGGGGAGGAAGGGAGUAAAGUUAAUACCUAGGCUCAGUGACGGUACCCGCAGAAGAAGCACCGGCUAACUACGUG
rnacentral:rRNA from 1 species